AGAGUUUGAUCCUGGCUCAGGAUGAACGCUGGCGGCGUGUUUAAGGCAUGCAAGUCGAACGAAUCCCGCAAGGGAUUAGUGGCAAACGGGAGCGUAACGCAUUGGUAACCUACCCCUAACACGGUCAUAACCCCGCGAAAGCGGAGCUAAUAGCCGAUGUGCUUAACGGUCAUGAGACCGUUACGUAAAGGUUGACGCAAGUCAGCCGGUUAGGGAGGGGCCUAUGUCCUAUCAGCUUGUUGGUGAGGUAAUGGCUCACCAAGGCAACGACGGGUAUCGGGCGUGAGAGCGUGGCCCGGCUCACUGGGACUGAAACACUGCCCAGACUCCUACGGGAGGCUGCAGUCAAGAAUCUUGCGCAAUGGGCGAAAGCCUGACGCAGCGACGCCGCGUGGUCGAAGAAGCCCUUCGGGGUGUAAAGGCCUUUUACCAGGGACGAAUUUCUGACGGUACCUGGUGAAUAAGAGGUUGCUAACUCUGUGCCAGCAGCCGCGGUAA
rnacentral:rRNA from 1 species